GACGAACCGUGCGAACGUUAUUCGGAAUCACUGGGCUUAAAGCGCGUGUAGGCGGGACGGCACGUCUGUCGCUGAAAUCCCCCGGCUUAACCGGGGAACUGGCGUAGAUACGACCGUCCUGGAGGGGCGUAGGGGGACCUGGAACUUCCGGUGGAGCGGUGAAAUGCGUUGAGAUGUGGAGGAACACCAGUGGCGAAGGCGACUCUUUGGCCUGUAACUGACACUGAGGCGCGAAAGCGUGGGGAGCAAACAGG
rnacentral:rRNA from 1 species